UACAAGCAGGCCUCAUGCCCGUAUGUACAUCUAUAUCUGUAGCAGCAUUGAUUUUCUAGUAUUCAAACCAUAAGAAAGUAGAAUAAUGGGCUCCAGAGCAGCAUCACAAAGCAUUUAAUUUCUGUUUUGGCUAUCCAAAACUGAUCCUUCUCUUGACAAGAAUUAUUUUUUUACCCAAAAACCGUAAGGCAGAAGCAAGGAUUCUUUCAAACUACAAAAUCAUGUAACAGAUGGGAAUUUCCAAACCUGUCCUGUUGCUUUCCCAGAUUCAUGCAAUUAUAAUCCAUCGAAUCAUGUCCCACAGAGGAAGCCGUUAUAUUGUCACCUCUUAUUUGGUUCCCACCAGACAUGGGAAAAGCAUCCCUUUCAUGAUGUUGCAAUCCCAAUGCAAGUGACACUUGACUGCCAAUUGCAAAUCCACUCAACUCUGAUAUGUCAUACGAGAGAGCAGCAGGCAUAAGAUUCUCAUCGCCAUGUUGGUUAACUGGGACAUUUUUGUCUAGAUAAGGGCUUUGUUCUUCCAUGUCAGACCUUUGGUUACCCUGGAGUUUAGUAAUCCUAAAAUUUGAGACAUCUCCACGAGAAUUAUUCUGACGCACUGUUUUUCCUAUAGGUUUGUUCAUUCCUAUAUCAGGAAUGCAAUAAGACCUUAAAUCAUGAACUUGACCUGGGUGGUUACUAUCAGCAGCUGCAGAUGUCACACUGUCCUGCAACUCGUCUAGCCCAUUCUCAGAUACCAAGUGAUUCUC
rnacentral:misc_RNA from 1 species